rnacentral:misc_RNA from 1 species
CCGAGUUUGGGUCGCCCCCGCGCGCCCGACCUCCAACCCUUUGUCUACCUGACCUUAACUGUUGCUUCGGCAGGCCCGCGGCCCUUUUUAGCGAUAAAGAGGGCCGCCGCCGGGGGUCUCACGACCCCGGGCCCGCGCCUGUCGACGGCCCAUACCAAAACUCUUGACAAAAAACGUGUCGUCUGAGUAUACCGAUUUAUAAUCAAAUCA